GAUGAACGCUGGCGGCGUGCCUAAUACAUGCAAGUCGAGCGAACAGACGAGGAGCUUGCUCCUCUGACGUUAGCGGCGGACGGGUGAGUAACACGUGGGUAACCUACCUAUAAGACUGGGAUAACUUCGGGAAACCGGAGCUAAUACCGGAUAAUAUUUUGAAUCGCAUGGUUCUAAAGUGAAAGAUGGUUUUGCUGUCACUUAUAGAUGGACCCGCGCCGCAUUAGCUAGUUGGUAAGGUAACGGCUUACCAAGGCGACGAUACGUAGCCGACCUGAGAGGGUGAUCGGCCACACUGGAACUGAGACACGGUCCAGACUCCUACGGGAGGCAGCAGUAGGGAAUCUUCCGCAAUGGGCGAAAGCCUGACGGAGCAACGCCGCGUGAGUGAAGAAGGUCUUCGGAUCGUAAAACUCUGUUAUUAGGGAAGAACAAAUGUGUAAGUAACUAUGCACGUCUUGACGGUACCUAAUCAGAAAGCCACGGCUAACUACGUG
rnacentral:rRNA from 1 species